CCUACGGGAGGCUGCAGUGAGGAAUAUUGGUCAAUGGACGCAAGUCUGAACCAGCCAUGCCGCGUGCAGGAAGACGGCUCUAUGAGUUGUAAACUUCUUUUGUACGAGGGUAAAUCCCGAUACGUGUAUCGGGUUGCAAGUAUCGUACGAAUAAGGAUCGGCUAACUGCGUGCCAGCAGCCGCGGUAAUACGGAGGAUUCAAGCGUUGUCCGGAUUUAUUGGGUGUAAAGGGGGCGUAGGCGGGUCGAUAAGUUAGAGGUGAAAUCCCGGGGCUCAACUCCGGCACCGCCUCUGAUACGGUCGGGCUAGAGUUUAGUUGCGGCAGGCGGAAUGCAUGGUGUAGCGGUGAAAUGCAUAGAGAUUAUACAGAACACCGAUUGCGAAGGCAGCUUACCAAGCUACGACUGACGUUGAGGCACGAAAGUGUGGGGAGCAAACAGGAUUAGAUACCCCAGUAGUC
rnacentral:rRNA from 1 species